GCUAGUAAUGGCAGGUCAGCAUACUGCCGUGAAUACGUUCCCGGGCCUUGUACACACCGCCCGUCACACCAUGAGAGUUGGGGAUACCCGAAGCCUGUGAGCUAACAUUAUGAGGCAGCAGUCGAAGGUAGAAUCAAUGAUUGGGGUGAAGUCGUAACAAGGUACC
rnacentral:rRNA from 1 species